rnacentral:rRNA from 1 species
AUUGAACGCUGGCGGCAGGCCUAACACAUGCAAGUCGAACGAGUGGCGGACGGGUGAGUAAUGUCUGGGAAACUGCCCGAUGGAGGGGGAUAACUAUUGGAAACGAUAGCUAAUACCGCAUACUGUGCGCUGACCCUACGUUGUAUUAGCUAGUUGGGGAGGUAAAGGCUCACCUAGGCGACGAUCCCUAGCUGGUCUUGGAGGAUGACCAGCCACACUGGAACUGAGACACGGUCCAGACUCCUACGGGAGGCAGCAGUGGGGAAUAUUGCACAAUGGGCGCAAGCCUGAUGCAGCCAUGCCGCGUGUAUGAAGAAGGCCUUCGGGUUGUAAAGUACUUUAAGCGAGGAGGCGUUACUCGCAGAAGAAGCACCGGCUAACUCCGUGCCAGCAGCCGCGGUAAUUC